AUGGGCGGAGGGGAAAGAGGAGGGACUCAGAGCGAGUCUCUCUGAGGACUAGUAGCGGACCUAGUAGGUGACGUCACAGGAGUGAGAUGCGUGUUUCGGACUUCAGGAAAGUUCGGGGUUGUGCGCUGAUGGGGGCCCUUGUCAGGCAGGGGCGUUUCCUUGCGGGGCGCUUCUAAUGAACGUCCUAAUGACCUUCCCAGAGAAAUCUCCUUUCUUGAAAUUAACUGGGAGUCUUGACUCCGUGCGCCAAGCUGGGCGUCGGCUCCCGUCACGAAGUGUUUGGGACACUGAGGGAUGUGGGCACCUCUUCAGGAAGGGGCAGGGAAAACCCGAGGGGAGGCUAGCGAAGGAAGCGCGCAAAACAGGAAGAAAGCUUCACUCGGCAAGAGCGUAGACCCCUAUCAAGUGAAAAGCAUCCUCGCUCGGCUCCGUUUCGUUGUCCGCAUUGGUGGUUCAGUGGUAGAAUUCUCGCCUGCCACGCGGGAGGCCCGGGUUCGAUUCCCGGCCAAUGCA